rnacentral:rRNA from 1 species
GACGUAGGGAGCCAGCGUUGUUCGGAAUUACUGGGCGUAAAGGGCGCGUAGGCGGUCAGGUCAGUCCCGUGUGAAAUCCCUCGGCUCAACUGAGGAACUGCACGGGAAACUACCUGGCUUGAGUUCGGGAGAGGGAAGCGGAAUUCCGGGUGUAGCGGUGAAAUGCGUAGAUAUCCGGAGGAACACCGGUGGCGAAGGCGGCUUCCUGGACCGACACUGACGCUGAGGCGCGAAAGCUAGGGGAGCAAACGGG